CUUAUUCAAAUUUUGUUUGCUUAUUUCUAACUUAUUUUUUGAAAGGUGUGUAAAAUCUUAAGUAAGAUUAAUAAUAUAAUCAAUAAAUAUUGAGGUUCUAAAUUAUCCUAGGAUUUAGGAUUUGGUUCAGGAUUUAAGAAUUGAUUAGGAUGUAGGAUUUGUUUAGGAUUUAGGAUUGUUUAGGAUUAUUUAAGAUUUAAUUAGGAUUUUAUUUAUGAUUUAAUUAAGAAUCAUUAAUAUUUUAACUAAAAUUAAAUUAAGAUUUGUUUAGAAUUUAUUGAAGAUAUAUUUAGGAUUUUAUUUUUAUAAUUUUAAAAAAUUUCUUUAUGAUUUCUUCAUACUUCUUUUGUAAUUUCUUUAAGGUUUCUUUGGAUUUGAUUAAAGCUUGAUUGCCAUUGUUAAG
rnacentral:lncRNA from 1 species